rnacentral:tRNA from 1 species
ACCUCAUAUGAGAGAUAGCUGAGUCGGCAGAGCAAGAGACUCUUAAUCUCAGGGUUGUAGGUUCAAGCCCCACAUUGGGCA